UGCUUUGCUUGUUCAAGGUCAGGCC
rnacentral:piRNA from 1 species